ACUCAAAUGAAUUGACGGGGGCCCGCACAAGCGGUGGAGCAUGUGGUUUAAUUCGACGCAACGCGAAGAACCUUACCUGGGCUUGACAUCCUCGGAAGCUUGUAGAAAUACGAGCGUGCCUUCGGGAACCGAGAGACAGGUGCUGCAUGGCUGUCGUCAGCUCGUGUCGUGAGAUGUUGGGUUAAGUCCCGUAACGAGCGCAACCCUUGUCCUUAGUUGCCACCGGGUUAAGCCGAGCACUCUAGGGAGACUGCCAGUGACAAGCUGGAGGAAGGUGGGGAUGAUGUCAAGUCAUCAUGGCCUUUAUGCCCAGGGCUACACACGUGCUACAAUGGUGACCACAAAGGGAUGCCAAACUGCGAAGUGGAGCAAAACCCAGAAAAGUCAUCGUAGUCCGGAUUGGAGUCUGCAACUCGACUCCAUGAAGCUGGAAUCGCUAGUAAUCGCGGAUCAGCAACGCCGCGGUGAAUACGUUCCCGGGCCUUGCACACACCGCCCGU
rnacentral:rRNA from 1 species